rnacentral:lncRNA from 12 species
UUAAUACUUAUAUAUUAAAUUACACACCUAAAUUUGUGCAUAUAUGUACACAUUUAGGUUUAAAUUUGUGCUCUGCAAAGGCAGCGCCAUUGUCUUGAACUCCAGUAACAAGUUCACCCCUGUGUAAUUGAGGACAACGUCUACAUGGUGGGCCUUCGUUGGUCUAGAACAAGAAGAAUGCCUGAUUGCUGCUCUAAAACCAAGAAAUUUGCCUCAGCAAGCAUCUCAGCAGCCAAAUGAAAGGAAGAAUAUUACUACAGAGGGCACGUUAAAAACCAGUCCAUAUUGCAAGUGAUCUUAAUCCCCCAAUCUAACCACUUGAAUUCCCUUUUUCCCUUGAAAUGCUUCCAGUCACUCUUUGGCAGGGGAGAUCCACAACCCAAGUGUGGUGUGAAGAAGAUUUCCAGAUCUGUGCAACUGGAAUAAAAGGAGGGGUCGAGGGGGACCACCCGUAAGGAUCAGAUAAGAGCACGAUGCCCGUGUGCGGACCCUCUAUUGAAGAGGCCUGUCUAGGCCUGUCUACAGAGCCACCAUUUACUCCCUGUGAUUGAUGUCAGCUAUUCAGCAUAGUGCCUAUAGAGAGAGCAGAGCUGAAAAUGCAAGUAUCUUUUCAUUCAGUCAUAAUAGGCUAGUGUUUACAUAUCUUAAGGCUAAGGGUGUUUGCGCACACACACACAUACACACACACAUAUAUAGCAUAUUGUCUGCUUCUAACAGAGUUAAAAUAAUUUCAGCAUAGUUUGUUUUACGCACCUUGUUCCCGUUUUAAUCAUGCGAUAAACAUUCAAUUACUGAAACAAAAGGCAGCUAUUGAAAAGUAAUCGCCGCUCUUAUAAGGCAAACUUCCACGCGUUAAUGGCCCUGCCUUUACGCAUUUAUUCCUGUGAUAACUUCUGACCAUUGACAGGCCGUGAUUUUAAUAGUCCCUUAUUGUUUCAUUUGCGUCUGUUACAUUUUUUUCAACAUAUAGCGAGUCUAAAACGGUGGUUCUCAGCCUUUUUAACUCCCGUUACUAUAUUCCAUGUCCGCU